CUCUCUCUCUGCUUCCGGCCUUCUCUCGGCAUCUCUUUUCUUUUUCUCUUUUUGUAAUUUUAAGCUUUGAUCUCAUCUUCACCAAUUGGAUUUUGGUAGAACAUUGUGAAGCAAAGUUGUUGAGCUCGUCGAGCCCGUUAAUUUGAUAGGAGCCAAUCAUCAUUUGGUGCACUCUAGGGAGUUCAAAAUUCUAGGGUUCUUGGGCUCAAAUUGGGGGUUUUCAUCAAUUUGAGGACAUGGAAAAGAGGUGGCGGACGACGAUCCACCCCGAUUUUAGACGAGCACGGAGACCUAUUUUAUUUUAUUUUUUUUGCUAUCUUUUGUAUUAAAACUCUCUAAUAUUUUGUAAAUGUAAUAUUAACUAACUCGUAAAACUUUAGUUUAAUUAGUAUAAUGUUGUAAGCCAUGGACUUUUAAAUUAUAAUUACGCUUUUUGGACUGUAA